UACAGAGGGGGCAAGCGUUAUUCGGAAUUAUUGGGCGUAAAGGGCGCGUAGGCGGCCUGGCAAGUGGAAGGUGAAAUCCCUCGGCUUAACCGAGGAACUGCCUCCCAAACUGCUUGGCUUGAGACCGGGAGAGGUGAGUGGAAUUCCCAGUGUAGCGGUGAAAUGCGUAGAUAUUGGGAGGAACACCAGUGGCGAAGGCGGCUCACUGGACCGGUACUGACGCUGAUGCGCGAAAGCGUGGGGGAGCGAACAGG
rnacentral:rRNA from 1 species